rnacentral:rRNA from 1 species
AAAGUAUCGAUGUGUAAUAUAGAAACUAACAUCAAACAUAUUUAAAAAAAAGUAUUUCAAAGGGGUUAUUAAGGAUAAUUAGCAAAUUUAUAAAUAAGGAGGCAUUGGCCUAAUGCCACUUUAAUUAAAUAAGUGGCAAUCCUAAGGGAAACCUUUUUAUAUAAUACUUCCUGAAGUAAAUCAUUUUAGUAAGGAAAGGAAAGGAAAUCAACCGAGACUCCGAAAGUAAUGGUGAGUGAAAUCGGAUUAGCCUGUGAUUAAAAUAUAAAGGUGAAAACAAACAAUUACCAUAAAUCUAGUUUAAAGAAGUAUUGUAAGUGUACCAAAGAAGGUAAAAACCAAAGUCCUGUAGCAUUUAUAAAAAUCACUACCUUAACCUAUUUUGUAUAGUGUUAGGGAAUAUUUUAAUUAAUAAAUAUAAACAAUAAAGGUUAAAUUAACUUUUGUUUAUAUUAUAUAGUUAAUAAGUUAAAUUUUUAUUUAAUUUAUUUAAAUAGGUUAAAAAUAAUAAUCAGUUUUUAUUAAAAUACGAUGAGAGAUAACUUGUUGGAAUAUAGGGGUACCAUCCUCUAAGGCUAAGUAUUAUAAAUUUAGCGAUAGUGAACAGUACUGUAAAGGAACAUGUGAAAAAGUAAAAUAAAAAAUUAUUGAAAUAGAUAUUGAAUUAGUAACUCUAUAAGCAGCCGAAAUUAAAAAAAAUAAUGACGGCGUACCUUUUGCAUAAUGGGUCAGCAAGUUAAUAGAAAUAGCAAGGUUAAAAGCCUUAGCGAAAGCGACUAAACUAAAUUAGGAAAAUAAAAUAAAUAUUUUAUAAUUUAUUUUUAAUUAAUUUUAAUUAAAAAAGAGUGACACCUUAUGUUAAAUUUUACAAUAAUUUGUUAAAAUUAUUAAUAUAAGUUGUUAUUUGCUAAACUAUAGUGUUGGGUAAGUUAUUUCUAUUAGACCCGAAGCUAGAUGAUCUUUCCAGGACCAGAUUAUUAAGGAUCGAACGGGUGAAUGUUGCAAUAUUCUCCGAUGAGUUCUGGAAAGCGGUGAAAGGCCAAUCUAAUCUAGUUAUAGCUGGUAUUCUUCGAAACAUAUGUAAGUAUGACAUUCAAUUAAAUUUAUGGAGGUACAGCACGGAAAUUCCAAACAAGUAAUAUAAACAUUAUGCGUUUAGGUUGUGGGGAUCUAAUAAAUCUUACCAAUGGAAUUUAAACUCGGAAGUACAUAAAUUAAUGUUGGAUAUUCAGACUGCUCAUGAUAAGUUGAGCAGUCAAGACGAAAACAGUCGAGAACACGCAUUAAGGUCCCAAAUGAUUAUUAAGUGAAAUUAAGGAUGUUACAUUUUGUAUGCAGCUGUAAAGUGAGCCUGGUAGUCGCUACUUAUAAUGACCGUUGUAACAACGCAUCAGCUCUUAGAUUGUAGCACUGAAAAUUUAACGGGUCUAAAUAAUCAACCGAUAUCGUGUUAAUUAAUAAAAUAUUUAAUAUUUUUAUUUUAUUAAUCUAGGUAGAAGAACAUUCAGAAACGAAAGAUACACAGUGUUUCAUUGUGAUUGACGAACUGAAGAGAGAAUGCUGACAUGAGUAACGUAAAAAGAAGUUUUAAUACUUCUCGCCGAAUACGAAAGGGUUGUAAGUAAAGUUUAAACUAACUUAUGUUAAAUGCGGGUCUCUAAGGUUAAAAACCAAAGUUUUUGCUGAUGAGGUAGUGAUAGAAUUGUCUUAAUGGAAGAUUAGACCAAGAAAACAAAUCACUUCUAAAAAUUAUUAAUAUAUAUUUAAUAUAUUUAAAUUAUAUUUAAAAAGGUUUUAUUUUUCAAUAAAUAGAUUGUAAAUAUUUUUAAGUUUAAAUUUUAAUGUUAAUUGUAAUAUUUUGGCAAAAAAAAUAACAAAUUUAAUUUAACAAAAAAAAAAAAGAACUACCGUACCCUAAACCGACACAGGUUCGUAGGUAGAGAAUACUAAGGCGUAGAGCUAAAAGUUGUAAAGGAACUCGGCAAGAUGUCCUCGUAAGUUUGACGAUAAGAGGGACCAAAAUUAAUAAUUAGCGGAUAAAGCCUUCUUAUAAAAUUAAUUCAAAAAUUUUUUAAAAAAUAUAUAAAGGUUAUACCGUUUUAUUAUUUUAACUUAAUUUUUUUAUUUUAUUAUUUAAUUUUACAUAUUAAGUUACAUAGAUACAAAAAUUAUUCUUUUUUUUAGUUUGCUUUAAAAAUAAAAAAUAAAAGUAAGAGUUAAAGUAGUAAAGUCAGCCAUGAUAAAUUGUUAAAAUUUGGUGGCACAAAAUCGGAGGCCUCGACUGUUUACUAAAAACACAAGAAUGUGCAAUGAUAAAAAUCAUAGUAUACGUUCUGAAAUUUGCUCGAUGCCAUUAAUAUAAAAAAGGUAAUAGGUAACUGUUACUAAUUGAAGUUCUGGUUAAUAGCGGUCUUAACUAUGAGGAUCCUAAGGUAGCGAAAUCAAUUGGCCAUUAAAUGUGGUCCGGUAUCAAUAAUAUAACGAAGGUCUCACUGUCUCUACAACUUGCUCAGUGAAAUUGAAUUGCCAGUGCAGAUGCUGGCUUCUCUCAGUGGGACGGGAAGACCCUAUGCAGCUUUACUGUAGUUAGCUAAUAUGCUGAUCUAGAACAACUUUAAACAAUAGUGAUUAGGUAUGUCGAUAGACAAAAUAACCCGUAAGGGGAGUGGAAACCUUCAGAUUAAGGUUGGGUUAGUGUUUACCUAAUUAAAUUAAAUUUAAAAAUUAGGGAUAAUUGGCUAAUUGGCAGUUUGACUGGGGCGGUCGUCUUUAAUAAAGUAGCAAAGUACACCCACAGAUUUAAUUUUAAUCAUUUUUACAAUAUUAUUAUUUUUAUAGUAAUAUUGCACACUAAAAAGAUAAUUAGAUGGUAUAGAUUUGUUAAUCUUUAAUCUUAAUUUAAGAACAUAAAGGUUAUUUAAAUCUAUAUAAAAUUUUCUAAAUUAAAAAUUUUUACUUUAAACCAUCGAACAUAUAUUUAUGUAUAAAAAUUUUUUAAAGGUAUAGCUAGAAAUUGAAUGGAGAUCAAUCAACUAAUGUAAAGGUUGUGUAGAGUGUAAUGGCGGUAAGCAUACCUAACUGAAAGACUUAAAAGUCAAACAGAUACGUAAGUAGGGCAUAGUGACCCCUCGCUAUAAUAUGGAAUAGACGGGGAUCAUUUGAUAAAAGUUACGCUAGGGAUAACAGGCUGAUAGCCGGCGAGAGUACACAUUGUCCCGGCUGUUUGGCACCUCGAUGUCGAUUCAUCCUAUCCUCCGGGGGAAGAAGCUUGGAAGGGUUGGGCUGUUCGCCCAUUAAAAGGGUACGUGAAUUGGGUUUAAUACGACGUGAGUCAGUAUGGUCCCUAUCUUCUGAGAGAAUAAUUAGUAAAAAGGGGAAGACCUUCUAGUACGAAAGGACCAAUAGGCUGUGUUUCUAUAGUGUACCAAUUGUUGAAAUUAAAUUAAAUAUAAAACCAAAACAAAAACAUUUUAAUUAUUUUUGGUUAAUGCUACCUUAAAUGGAGUGUUUUAGUUUAAUUUUUUGUUUUUUUAUUAAACUAUUAUAUUUUUUUUGGUGUGGUAUUUAUUUAUAUAAACAUUGUAUAAUUAAUUACCUUAAAAAAUAUAAUUUUUUUUUUACUUUUUUAUAGUAGUAAAAUUAUAUAUAUAAUUUGGCACAGUUGGGUAGCCACAAACAUGGUA